rnacentral:sRNA from 1 species
GACUAGAAAAUUCGAAAGUGGUUAGAGUCAGUCACAUUUUUAUUCUGAAUCUCUCCCCUACAGACUUUAAGAACUACAGAUUGAACUCCUUGUUCUACUACUUUCCCCCCUCCUCACUACUGCACUUGACUAGUCUUAA